CCACGUUGUCUGCGAAGUCUACUCUUUGUACCUCGACAUAUUUCUUUUCGAGAUAGUCGCAUAUGAUAUGAUACCACCAUUUGAUGUGCUUUAAUUUUUGAUGAGAUCUUGGCUCCUUAGCAAGUGCUAUGGCUAUAUUAUUGUCGCAGUUAAGUGGUAUGGCAUCCGAUGUCAUAACUCAAAGUUUUGCGAUAAAUUUUUUGAACCA
rnacentral:lncRNA from 1 species